GAUGAACGCUGGCGGCGUGCCUAACACAUGCAAGUCGAGCGAACGGACGAGAAGCUUGCUUCUCUGAUGUUAGCGGCGGACGGGUGAGUAACACGUGGAUAACCUACCUAUAAGACUGGGAUAACUUCGGGAAACCGGAGCUAAUACCGGAUAAUAUUUUGAACCGCAUGGUUCAAAAGUGAAAGACGGUCUUGCUGUCACUUAUAGAUGGAUCCGCGCUGCAUUAGCUAGUUGGUAAGGUAACGGCUUACCAAGGCAAAGAUGCAUAGCCGACCUGAGAGGGUGAUCGGCCACACUGGAACUGAGACACGGUCCAGACUCCUACGGGAGGCAGCAGUAGGGAAUCUUCCGCAAUGGGCGAAAGCCUGACGGAGCAACGCCGCGUGAGUGAUGAAGGUCUUCGGAUCGUAAAACUCUGUUAUUAGGGAAGAACAUAUGUGUAAGUAACUGUGCACAUCUUGACGGUACCUAAUCAGAAAGCCACGGCUAACUACGUG
rnacentral:rRNA from 1 species